CGAAAAUUGAGGUGUGAAAAAAGAAAUAAAUGUGAAGCUGAAGAUGUAAACGGCAAAAAAUAAUCUUCUUUAAGUGGUAAAAGCUAAGCAUAAGUGAAAGUGGACAUUUUUGUUACUGUAUACUAUUUUUUAUGAGAUUCUGGAAUGAAUGGUGCUAAUACAUUAUUUAAUUGUGCUAAUACAUGAUGUUGAUAAGACGGUAGAAUUAAUUUUGUUUCCAACCCCCCACCCCCCAACAAACAAAGAAUAGAACUUCUCUUUUGUCAUUGUUAUAGUUAUUAUUGCAGUUUUCUAAAUAUGGAUGAUGUUUUAUGAGCAGAAGGAGGAGAUGAUGGGAAAGUUUAACAAAGCCCAAGUAGCUAACCAAUCGCUGGAUGAUUCAAUUUCUAAGAUUCAAAGUGAGCUGCCUUCAACUAAGGAUCCUCUAAUUCCACGGAUAACUGAAGAGGUUCCUUCCUUGAGCACAGAUUCUGGAGGACGUAGGCCCAGAAAGAAGACAUUUAUGGUUAUUGGGAUAAACACGACCUUCAGUAGUAGAAAAAGGCGCGAUUCUAUUAGAAAGACUUGGAUGCCUCAAGGUGCAAAGCUACAUAGAUUAGAGCGAGAAAAGGGGAUCGUUGUGCGUUUCAUGAUAGGCCACAGGUAUGAUCUGCAUUGCUCCAUAUCUUCUUCAUGCCAAACUAGAUGCUCAUUCAUCAAUGAGUUUCUACUGGAGUCUCAUAUUGUUUCUUGCCAAAAGAGUGAUAAUAUGCUUCCUGUUCUUUGUUUUAAAUAUCCUCUGCUUCACUUAGAAGUUGAAUGUAUGAUUAGCUUUUCAAGAGAUAUACGAAGGAAAUUAUCAUUUAGAAGCUUUGUUAAGAGUUAGUAAUUCACUACUAAAGAUGGACUGGAAAGAUUUAAGACAAGAUAUAGAGAACUGCAAGUGAGUGAUUACAGAAUCAUUCAUCUGUAAUCUACCAGUCUGGCACCUUUUUCCUUUUCUAUCUGGUAAUGUGCAGCAUGCAACUCUUCAAUGAAGCUGUAAGAAGUUCAUUUUGCUGCUUAAAGGAACUUGCAAGAACUUUGAAUCUUCUAUAAAACAAUAUUUGCCUUCAUAAACGAAUGUGUGUUUUUAUCCCACUCUUUCUGCAUUUCUAAGAACUAAAUACUAAAGGUAUAUAAAGUUGGUAUUCUAACUAAAUCGGAAAGAGCAGCAACUCGACGUGACUUUUGGGAGUGGGAAUGCCAUUUGUCGCAUAAGUUAUGAUGAUCCAUGUUAAUUUUCCUAUUGUAGCUUCAAAAUGAUCAAAUGAAAGGAUAUUAGCUUUUCUUAAGGUUGUAGAUUUGAAUCAAUGACAUUCAAUGCUUCGAUUUACUUCUGUCUUUAGAAUGUCAAGACGAGUGAAUAUCUUGCCAUGAGCAGUACCUCUCAGUUGCUUAGAGCAAUCAAUUUAGUUAGACGUGAAUUACUAUGUUAUUGCAUUUGUGCUGAUAUUGCAAAUGUGAAAGGCAAAGUAACAACAUCCCUUAUGAGUUUCAUGUUUGAUGGUUUCUAUACUUUUCAAUCUUGGGUAGAUAUAUCACGGGCCCAGGAGUAUGGUUUUAACUUGAUGCCCAACAUGAUAAGAACAAGUGUAGCAUAAGUGUUUUCUUUUGUCUUCUUUUUUUUGUUUCUUUUAAUUGAAAUUUUAAAUAGCAGCAUGAAAGUUUACUUUGUAUCAGAAUAGGAAAGGUUUUUUCUAGAGCUAAAUGGUGCAUUUGGAUAUAAAUGUGGGAGAUUGAUUCACUUGUGCAAACUGUAUCUUUCACGAUACUAAGUCAUAGAUAAGCCAUGAGAGAUUCAGACACAGUAUGUUGCACAUUUUCUCACCUGUUCUAGAGGCAGUUUACAACUUCGUAAUUUUCGAGAGCAAGAAGGGCAUAAUCGUUACACUUGUUUGAGAGCUUAUUACAAAACCAGCUAAAGGAUAAGUUGAAAUAUUAUGUAUUAGUAGGUUUAAAGUUGCUCACCCUCCUCUCAAUGAAAAAGAGAAAGUCAGACUUGAGAAGGACAUGCUGAUUUUAGAAUCAUACAUCUAUUUGAAGUAAGUAAAUGCUACCAUAUCUCCAUUGAUAAUAUGUAUUGUUGCUAUGAGAUCUUUCUUUUUUGGCAUGUCAAUCAAGUAAACUUAUGAGUAUAAGAAUGGUAAAAAGAAAGCAUUAGAAAGGAAGGAUUGUUUUUCAUGAAAAAGAGAAGUGAAAUGCACAUGAA